rnacentral:rRNA from 1 species
UAGGGAAUCUUCCACAAUGGGCGCAAGCCUGAUGGAGCAACGCCGCGUGAGUGAUGAAGGCCUUCGGGUUGUAAAACUCUGUCUUCUGUGACGAACAAGCCUGUGAGUGGAAAGCUCAGGCCCUGACGGUAACAGAGGAGGAAGCCACGGCUAACUACGUGCCAGCAGCCGCGGUAAUACGUAGGUGGCGAGCGUUGUCCGGAAUCACUGGGCGUAAAGCGCGCGCAGGCGGCGAUCUACGUCUGGGGUGAAAGCCCGGAGCUCAACUCCGGGACUGCCUUGGAUACGGGAUCGCUUGAGGAUUGGAGAGGCAAGGGGAAUUCCACGUGUAGCGGUGAAAUGCGUAGAGAUGUGGAGGAACACCUGUGGCGAAGGCGCCUUGCUGGCCAAUUACUGACGCUGAGGCGCGAAAGCGUGGGGAGCAAACAGGAUUAGAUACCCUGGUAGUCCACGCCGUAAACGAUGAGUGCUAGGUGUU